rnacentral:rRNA from 1 species
AUGGUCAAGCUACUAAGGGCGUACGGUGAAUGCCUUGGCGCCAGAAGUCGAUGAAGGACGCGGUAAGCUGCGAUAAGCCUCGGGGAGGUGCAAACAACCUUUGAUCCGGGGAUCUCCGAAUGGGGCAACCCACGGCGGGUAAUGCCGCCGUAUCCCGGUCUGAAUCCAUAGGGCCGGGAGGGCAACGCGGGGAAGUGAACCAUCUCAGUACCCGCAGGAAAAGAAAACAACAGUGAUUCCGUCAGUAGCGGCGAGCGAACGCGGAACAGCCCAAACCGGAGUGCAUGCACUCCGGGGUUGUAGGGCCUGUCGGGCCGCAAGGCCGGCGAGUGAACAACCAGCGUGAUAGUCGAACGACCUGGAACGGUCGGUCAUAGAGGGUGACAACCCCGUAGGCGAAAUCGCGCUGGCUCGCUGGGCAGGUUCCUGAGUACCACGGGACACGUGAAAUCCCGUGGGAAUCUGCGAGGACCAUCUCGCAAGGCUAAAUACUCUCUGGCGACCGAUAGUGAACCAGUACCGUGAGGGAAAGGUGAAAAGCACCCCUGCGAGGGGAGUGAAAAAGUACCUGAAACCGUAUGCCUACAAGCAGUGGGAGGGCUAUGCCGCGCUUCGGCGCGGAAUGCCUGACCGCGUGCCUUUUGCAUAAUGAGCCGGCUAGUUGUUCUCAGUGGCAAGGUUAAGCGUAAGCGAGCCGCAGCGAAAGCGAGUCCUAACCGGGCGUUGAGUCGCUGGGAACAGACGCGAAGCGAGGUGAUCUACCCUUGGCCAGGGUGAAGCGCGGGUAACACCGCGUGGAGGCCCGAACCGGUGUUCGUUGAAAAGAGCUCGGAUGAGCUGAGGGUAGGGGUGAAAGGCUAAUCAAACCUCGUGAUUGCCCGUUCUCCUCGAAAUGCUUUUAGGAGCAGCCUCGGAUGGUCGGCAUUGGCGGUAGAGCACUGGAUGGACUAGGGGCCUUACCAGGUUACUGAAUCCAACCAAACUCCGAAUGCCGAUGACCGCAGUCCGGGAGUGAGACAGUGGGGGCUAAGCUUCACUGUCGAGAGGGAAACAGCCCAGACGACCGGCUAAGGUCCCAAAGUGUGUGCUAAGUGGUAAAGGAUCUGAAGAUGCCCAGACAGCCAGGAGGUUGGCUUAGAAGCAGCCAUCCUUUAAAGAAAGCGUAAUAGCUCACUGGUCAAGCGUCUUCGGGCCGACAAUUCAACGGGGCUCAAGCACACCACCGAAGCCGUCGAUUCGCUCGUCCUGCGGGACGCGCGAGUGGUAGAGGAGCGUUCUCUGGACGUUGAAGUCAGACCGAGAGGACUGGUGGAGACCAGAGAAGUGACCCUGCCGGCAUAAGUAGCGAUAAGGGAAGUGAGAAUCUUCCCCGCCGUAAGCCUAAGGUUUCCUGAGGAAGGUUCGUCCGCUCAGGGUUAGUCGGGAGCUAACGCGAGGCCGAAAGGCGUAGCGGAUGCACAUCCGGUUAACAUUCCGGAACUACCUGGAAGACGUUUGUACGAUGGGGAGACGCAGGAGGCUAUGCGAUCCGGCGGCUGGAAGUGCCGGUCGAGAGCGUAGGGGGAUCCGCCAGGAAAAUCCGGCGGGUCGUUAACCCUGAGGACUCGGAGCGAGUUCCGUUCGGAACGAAGUCGCAGACGCCACACUGCCGAGAAAAUCCUCUAAGGAGUCUUCCGGGUACCCGUACCGCAAACCGACACAGGUAGGCGAGGAGAAAAUCCUCAGGCGCAAGUGAGAACCCUCGUUUAGGAACUCGGCAAACUGACCCCGUAACUUCGGAAGAAGGGGUGCUCGACGUCGUGUAGAGGCUCGCCCUUGAAGCGAUGUUGAGUUGCAAUAAAGAGGCCCAGGCGACUGUUUACUAAAAACACAGGACUCUGCGAAGUCGAAAACGACGUAUAGGGUCUGACUCCUGCCCGGUGCCGGAAGGUCAAAGGGAGAGGUCAGCCGCAAGGCGAAGCUUCGAACUCAAGCCCCGGUAAACGGCGGCCGUAACUAUAACGGUCCUAAGGUAGCGAAAUUCCUUGUCGGGUAAGUUCCGACCUGCACGAAUGGAGUAACGAUCUGGGCGCUGUCUCAACGAGGGGCACUGCGAAUUUGUGGUACCGGUGAAGACGCCGGUUGCCCGUGACUAGACGAAAAGACCCCGUGCACCUUUACUGCAACUUAGUAGUGAAUGCUGCAGCCGUCUGCGCAGGAUAGGUAGGAGACUGUGAACCCGGGUUCUCGGACCCGGGGGAGUCGUCGGUGAGAUACUACCCUGACUGUUGCGGCGUUCUAACCGCGCCCUGUGAUCCAGGGCCGGGACAUUGCUAGGUGGGUAGUUUGACUGGGGCGGUCGCCUCCUAAACAGUAACGGAGGCGCGCGAAGGUUCGCUCAGGCUGCUUGGAAAUCAGCCAUAGAGUGCAAAGGCAGAAGCGAGCUUGACUGCGAGACCUACAAGUCGAGCAGGUGGGAAACCAGGCCUUAGUGAUCCGGUGGUUCCGCAUGGAAGGGCCAUCGCUCAACGGAUAAAAGGUACGCCGGGGAUAACAGGCUGAUCUGAGCCAAGAGUCCACAUCGACGCUCAGGUUUGGCACCUCGAUGUCGGCUCAUCGCAUCCUGGGGGUGUAGCAGCUCCCAAGGGUCCGGCUGUUCGCCGGUUAAAGCGGUACGUGAGCUGGGUUUAGAACGUCGCGAGACAGUUCGGUCUCUAUCUGUCAUGGGCGCAGGAGAUUUGAGUGGGGCUGACCUUAGUACGAGAGGACCGGGUUGGACGCACCUCUAGUGUACGAGUUGUCGCGCCAGCGGCAGUGCUCGGUAGCUACGUGCGGACGGGAGAAACGCUGAAAGCAUCUAAGCGUGAAACCCUCCACGAGAUGAGAUCUCCCCGGGUCGCAAGACCCCUGAAGGCACCUGGAAGAUGACCAGGUUGAUAGGUCGGGUGUGGAAGCACCGUGAGGUGUGAAGCUGACCGAUACUAAUCUGCCGUGAGGCUUGACCAU